CUCUGAGUCCCAAGGGUUUUUACUGAUUAGAAGUGUUAAGUUUCGAUCUCCUCUCCUCUCCUCUCCUCUCAGUCCCAAGGGGGUUUUCUGAUUCAAAGUGUUAAGCACAGACGAAGUCUUGGCAACCAUCACGACAGAUCUAAGACGAAGUACGGAAUGAGAAGAAGUCGUGUUAACAUAGCUGAAGAAGCUUGAUGGUGGUAGCAUCGGCGUCAACAAUGGUGGUCUCGACAUCAUCAAUGGUAGUUAGUGCGGUGGAGGAGGCUGUUGGGUGGUGGUCGGCCUCAAAGAUAAAGAAACCGAAGGAGGCUGUUAGGUUGAUUUUGUUUUUUUAGGUUAGGCUUUAGGUUUACAUUUGUAAA